ACCCAUUGUAAGCAGUAAUCUGCAUCUGGCAUUGGUAAGUACCCUUUCCAUUCUCUACCUGUCUGUGGAUGGCUAAUUCCUAUUGAAAAAGCAGGUUUUAACAACAACAGCUGCAAAUUAUUUUUCCUUAUGAUAUCUCCAAAAUGAGAUUGUAGAGGAUUAUAAUUGCCUGUCCGGCACUAAGGAUGAACGUGACUCUCAAAGAUUGCAAAACGCAUUUGAGAUUUUGGCAAUGAAUAUAAAGACCCAAAGUAAGUUCAACUUAAUUAACACAUAAUUAUGAUAACUUCUGUUUUGGUGGUAUAAUAGAAUUUAUUACAUUUCUGAGUUGUUUACAAUGUAUUUAUUGUAAAGUAUAGUAUGGAUCUCGUAUGAUUUGUUAUCCCUUGACAAUAUUCUUGGCAUUUAUAUAAGCUUCAGAACUUUGAUUGCCAGAAUAGUCCAUUCUGGUGGGCUUUAUUAUUUAAUAAAAGGUGGCUGCCGUGAGCUCAAUGAAGAAUGCAGAAAAGGGUAACAUCAUAUUUCAUUUAAAAUUUCAAUCAGUGCCAUCAACUGGCUUAUAUUACUUAAUCAGGAAUCUAUAUAAAGUAAAGUCCAAUGUUUAGCUUGGUUUAUAUUUAAUAUUCUGCAUUUAUGAGGAU